GGUGUAGCUCAGUGGUAGAGCAUUUGCCUAGCACACACAAGGAUCUGGGUUCAAUCCCCAGAAACACCA
rnacentral:tRNA from 2 species